rnacentral:sRNA from 1 species
GAAGAGCGCUUAACUCUGUUUAGUCCUGACAAAUGGGUCAGAGGUUAAUUUUCAAAAACGCCUGAGCCGAAAGGCCCAGCCCAAGCCCCCCCCUGGAUCCACAGCAAUCGUAAUAAGCCAAAGGACAAGAAAAUGUCCCCCCCCCCACACCCGCGCCACAAAGGCAUAUCCGUCAGAAAAAAAAAAAACAAAACACAAAUUUUGGGGCGCCCAUUCCCGCUGUCAUUCCUCACUUUUGUUUUUCUUUUGAAUUUUUCAUAAAGGAAACAGAAGCGAAUUUUGUGGACAUUAAAAUGCCACAAAACGUUUUAUAGUAAUUUUUCAUCUUUUCGACGGUCGGCGGUCGAAUGGUCCGCACUCCCCCGCAAAGAUGGGGGUGAACAGGACACGGGGUUUGGCUUCGGUCUCGGUUUUGGUGGGUGUUGGUGGGGCGAUUGUGUGCGGGCUCUGUUCGGGCUGAGGAGGGUUCCGUUCCCCGGGCGGCGGAAAGCGGCGGAAAGCGCCGGAAAGCUGUCGACAUUUAUGUUGAUCUCACGCAGCGAAAUAACACGGCGCACGCAUCCUAUGCUGAUAAAUUUUUAUCUUUGUAUGACAAGUUAAUAAUGUGCCAGUCCAGGCGCCGUCGUCUGCGACAUCCUUCUGCCAGAGAAUGGACGGCACCGGCCCGGGGUUGCGCCAUGUAGAUUCCUUCAUUGCUUUUGCAUCCAGAUCCGGACCCGCGGCAUCAAAUGAAAGUUGCUUUAUUUUUUGUUGUUUUUGUUGUUUCUGUUCUUAUUGAAAUUUCGUUAGGCCUGCCAAGGCCGUAGGUAAAGUAUUUCCGUGGACUUUUAACGGAUUUAUUGUGAUUUUUGGGUCACGUGACUGUCGAGGAAUUUGUUCAGCCUCUUUCCGCUUAUAAUUGCUUUUCAUUUGAUUCAUUCCCCUCGAUAGAGCAAACACAAAGCCGAGUGGGAGAGAAAUAUAACUUUGAUGUUUUUUUACAUGGACUAUUAAUGGACUAUUUGUUUUUCUUAGUGUAUAUACUAUAUCCUUGAUAUAUUCGUAGUGGAUGAUAGUGGCUGUCCUUGGAAGUUGGAAAACCCUACUUGUGGUUCUGUGAAUUUAUACCCAUAGAUAUGCACCGAGAGUGAACAUUUUAAACAGAAAGUGUCUUCUAUCACAUUUUAACUUUAUUUAUUUUGUUCUUUAUAUGCAUCGAACUGAAGAUACGAUGCUUUAAUCUAUAAUAUAAAUAUAUAAGAUAAUAUUUUAAAGAGUGUAGAGGGCUUGAACGGCCUUAUGGGCUAAGCUAAAUUUCAUUAAGGGUGUUAUUCAAGAUAUUCAGGCAUAAUUUGAUCUUUCAAGAGUCGAGAUCUAAAUAGGAUUGUAAGGGGGUAUAGAGAUGUUCUUAGAAUUUGUAGAUGAGAUUCUUGGGUAAUUUACCAUUAAAAUGAAAAGAUUUUAUCACUAUAUACCAAUACCAUAUACCUCUGAGUGUAGAUAUGCUACGAUAUUCAAUGUUUUCCACGCAACUAAAACACUUGCACAAUAUGAUUCAGAAUAUCUGAUAAUGUAUUCCCGCUUUCGCUGUCGUUUGUACACAUUUAUUGCAUCUUUUUGUACAUAUCCAAGUGCUUAAAGAGCGGACCAGAGCCUGACAUUUGGUCAAGGGAAAUAUCGAGAGAGCAACAAAUUAUAAAGUAACGCAUAUUCGACAGUUUCGAACCGAAAAAUUGUUUUUACAUUCAUAUCUCGAAAGUUACGACACCCCUGGGAAGCGGGUGCUGGUCACUUAGCCACCAGGACCAGAGUCCUCCCCCCCCCAAACACUCCGGUCACAUAAAUAGCAAACAGCAACGUUCCCGUUCCGGACAUCGUUGAGGGUCGGUUCUUCGGCAUGGAAUGCCACUUGCCGUUGAGUAUAAAUCUUGCAUCGGAAUCACAGGCCCAGACCAAGAGAGUGUUUAGUAUGCGAAGCCACACGCGAAUAUUCCAUAUUACGAUGGGGGGAUACUCGGAUUGGGGAAAGCUGAGCCAAGAAAACGGACGGAAUGGACGGCACGGUAUGGCUCGGUAUUGGGGCGGCGAAGAGGCAGGGUGUAAAAAAUUUAAUGCUAUUUUUAAGGGAUUCUUUUCAAUUUAUUAUAGUUUGUGGCCUGAUCGAUUCCACCUUAUGAAUUCUACUAUGGGAGUACGCAUUUUAAAUGCAUAAAUAAAAUUUCUAGAACUUGGAAAAGGGCUCUAGGAUACUAAGGGAUAAUAUGUGGCCUCGAAGAUGCUUUCAGCUAUGGGUUAAUGGGGUGCUCUGCUCUUGGUAUCAGCUGUGGUUUCCACUAGCCACAAACCUGAACGGAUAACAAGUAAUUUUAUAAUUCUACAUUCCUGGAAAACUCUGUAAGGUGUGAAUUGAAAUUAUAGAAUAAUCAGAUUAGCCCUGGUGCUUCCAGGCCAUAAGGUUAAAUAAUCCAAGGGACCACAAGUCGUUUAAUUGGCUUUUAUUUAAGUCGAAACUUUGUUCCAUUUCGUAUCACUUAUUCAUGGCUCUCUCCAGCGCCAGACCUAAUCAAACGAACAUCUUUGAUGUUAUCUGCCAACCUCUAUGGGCUUUGAUUCAAUUGGCAAAACAAUUUGGUCUAUUCUAAGGGGAGAGGACAAGUCAUUUGUAAAUUGGGUUGGGUUAUAAAAUUUCAUUUUUACCGCUUCAUUGCCCUAAUAGAAACAAUUUAUUGAAUGCCGGAGCAGCUCCGAAACCUCCCCGAACUCUGGGCUCUGGGCGGUGGGCUCUGUCUGAUGCUGUGUGGCUUAAAUAAAUGUAAAUUUGCAUUGGCCAGAACCAGUACCAGUAGUAGUAGCAGUUUCCUCAUAUUAACGGGGAAGAGAAUCCUAUGAUGCUCGGGGAUACGAUACCAAUGGAUGGUGGUACAAGACCAGAGCAGAGCAGGCACCACCCGGCCUGGCCGUUGUGUCCCUUCUAAACGUUCUAUAAUUUGCUUAUUAUGCGCUUCCUGCUGCUCGCUUUUAUGUUUUGCCACAUUUUCUGGCACCCAGAGCCGAGCCGAGGACCAAAAACUGGGCAUAAAAUACGCACCCCAAUUGCUUCCUUCCAGUCACAAAACCGACGGAAGCCCCCGUGGUCGUGACCCCGUACCCUCAAUGGUUCAUAUUUUGUCAUAAUUUAUGUCGCUCUGGGUGUUGUUGCUGAUGUUUUGGGUUGGCUUCUUCUGGUCCUGGUCCUGGCCCUCCUCUGCAUCCGCUCCAGGCCAAGCAGCACCAUCACCAGCACCGCAGCAGGGCAUAUCUGUCAGAAGAUGCUGCGCGAGAGAGGAGGGAUGCUGCUACAGGAUGGACUCUGAUGUGCAGAUGGAUACAGGAUAGCAGAGAGAGCAGACACACGGAUACACUGAGACAAACAAACUUUAAGGUGGCAUUCAUUUCGAUUCGAAAAUGGACUCCUUCCUCGCGCGAGUAUUUUCGGGCAGUGUAUGCCUGGUUCCCCCUCGCGGCGUGGUGGCCCCGCAUGUUACGCAUUUCCUCUUGGGAUUCCAGGGCAUUGGGCGCUGUUCUUUUGAUAUUGUAAUGUGCAUAAUAGGAUUUUUAUGACACCUUUACUGUGGGGGCGGGCGGGCAUCAGGCAUCGCCAAUGGCACCAAUGGCUGCUGCCUCGCCUAAUCGCCAGAAGGACUGGCAGACUGGCCCCCUGUUUCCGCUGCUGAUGCUCUCCUUCUUGUCACCAAAAAGUUGCAAAUUUUAUUGGCCGGAUGUGCGGAUGUGCGGAUGUGCGGCAGCGGCAUGUGGAUUGUGGAUUUGCAUCAGAUCAUGAAUUUCACACGAUGGUAAUGGCCACAUUAGCAUUGACUACACGCAUUUAUGGCCCAGACCACACCCCAACCCCCAACCCCACCUCCAUUCUCCGGCCCAGGGGUAAGGUAAGUGCAUGUGCUAAAUUUUUAAUAUGCAAAUUUCGUUUCAGGGCUGCCGCCUGUGCGCUCACCUUUCGCAUUUCAUUUACACUUGUGCUGCAUAUUUUAUUGUGUUGUAUGUACACGGCAUUAUUGCACACAAAUGGCCAGUUACAUAUUAAGCCGAACAAUAACCGCCGACUGUGUUGUCAGGACUCUGGGGGAAACCCGGAUGUGGAUGUGGAUGCGAAUGUGGAUAUGGGUCCUCCAGAUGGCUGGCAAAAUGCCAUUUGAUUCGAGCGACACUUGGGGCUGUCUCUGUCUCCUGCUCCUGCCUCGUUGCGCAUCGUUUGGGAGCCCCUCCUCUCUAAUGGCUGUACGGAAUUAAUUUUCCAAAACCUUUUGAAAGGUGUCGCCUCCAUGCAAUUCCAAGGAGAUCGAUAAGUCCAGGGAGAGCUAAAUUGUGGAUUUACAUUGAGAGGCCACAGUAAAUCAUCGUUCUGCGAGUACGAGUAGUAUGUGCCUGGAAUGAGCCGUCGAAAAUCAAUAGCGUGAGACACUCCAGACAAAGCCAACAGGAGGCAACCCUUUCAAUCAGCAGCAUCAGAUGUACGACGAGUAUUCUCCACGCGUCGAUGGCCAUCAGCAGCCCCGAGGACACGGACACGGACACGGACAUGGACACGGACACAAUGCGAUGCUAUCGCAGAUCAAGUUGCUUUAACCUCCCCAUCAAUUAAAGUAAGAGGCUUUUUCUUUAUUUUAUCUAUUGUGGCUUUUGGUCCAGCUGUUGGCUGUAUUUGGUUGAAUUUUAAGUGAAAUUUCAAUAUUUAUAAAUU